rnacentral:lncRNA from 1 species
UCUCUCAUGUGAAGGGCUGUUAGCUGAGCCGCGCCAUGAUGAGCAUAAUAAAGCCCAGAGCAGCUCUUCAGCGGGGGAGACGGAUCAUGGACGGAAGAUGAGAAGAAAGACAGCGGCCAAACGCCUCCUGAACAACGAGCAUGAGGGAGAACCGGAGCAGGCGCAGUGUGAGGCUAUUGAGCAUAGACCGUCGAAGAUGAGGAAACAGCUGCACCCUCUGGAAGACCUGAGACAGAAGCUAACACCAUGUGAUGGUGGUCCUCUGAAGCUCAUCUCGAGGACUUUUGAAGUUGAGAGCACAGCAGGACUGGCCAUUGCAGAUGGAGAUAUCACCAUGGAGGUGUUGGGAAAUCUCCAAACUUGCUCAAGGUCAGAACUUAUCGCCAUGGUGUUGAGCAUGCAGAGGGAGACGGACAGCCUUAGGGAGCAAAUCAAGACUCUUACAGCUUGUGGAAGGUUGGCACAGAAUCUUGAGGAGUUGGUCUCAAAGACCGAAGGGUGGUUGAACUGUUGCAGUAUAGAAAGGACUCCCAGUAUCCCGAAGGCUCAUGAAGGGAACUCUGCACCCAGUCCGGUCUCUGCUCCGGUUGUCCGAAACAACCACAGGAUAGAGCAGCAGGUCUCCACCCAGCAGGAUGGUCACGAAACGGACGAGAAAACACCAAGGAGUGAAACACCCCAUUUCCAAGAGAUUAUCCCAGCGGAGUUGCUUGAGCGCUGCAACACAGGCACCACGGCCCAGAAGCUGACCAAUGAGCUGCUGCGUGGCCUGUAUGACCGAGACUGCCUCGCUUCACACUCUAUCUCCGGUGUCGUUAACAGCAAGAGAGGACAACCCAAGCCUGCACUGCCUGCCCACGAGAUUCAGGCCAUCCUGAGUAUGUUCACUGAAGAAAUCCUGCUAUAGAUUAAGUGAUGAAUUAAAAAUAUAUACAGAUAUAUUCGGACAGAAAAAAAUUCUAUACUGUUUAAACAUAAUCAGAUUUUU